UCCACUAAAGAAAACAAGCCUAUUAAGCUCCAAAUAAAGGUUAAAACAAAAAUCAGGGGGAAAAACUAAAAAAGAGUGCAGCAUCUAGAUGAACCAAUUAUGCAGAUGAAAUUAAAGAAUUUACAGAUUGGGUCAUACUGGGAUAGGUUUAAACAUUGCCAUUUCCAUACAUUUUCAUAACUAGAGUGUGUGUGUGUGUGUUU
rnacentral:misc_RNA from 1 species